CCCGGCCCCGCCCGUCCAUCACCGCCAUGGCCGCCGCCGCGAUGCUGCUGCUGCUCACGCUCGCGCUGCUCGGCGCCUUCGCCCGGGGCCAGGAUUUCGAUCUCUCGGACGCGCUCGAAGACCCCAAGAAGCCGGUUCCAACCAGGAAGCCCGCGGGUGA